rnacentral:lncRNA from 10 species
GAGACUGGGGCCUAAUAAAAAGGAGCGUCUAUACAGGAGCUUAAAUGGGCCGUACCUUGUAGCAUUCUGAGGACAGGUCUGACUUCUGAGAAGGGAAAGUGGUAAAAGUAUUGUCCAGUACUUUUUAAGUUGGUGGCUGAGCUUGGUGAGGUGUGGUUUUAAAAUACCAUUAGUCUGUUCUACUUUUCCUGAAGACUGAGGACUGUAAGGGAUAUAAAGGUUUCAGUGAAUACUAAGAGCCUGAAAAAAUGCUUGGCUGAUUUGACUAAUAAAGGCUGGUCUGUUAUCAGACUGUAUAGAGGUGGGAAGGCUAAACUGAGGAAUUAUGUCUGACAGAAGGGAAGAAUGACUGUGGUGGCCUUCUCAGACCCUGUAGGAAAGGCCUGUGGGAGGGAAAGAAGGAAGAUUUGGGAUGAUAAUAAUCGUCCCAAAUAAUAAUCUGUGCACUGGGCACAGAGACUAGGGAGGGACCAAUGUGUAAAAGAAUGCCUGAACGUCAGGCACCUCAGACAAUUUGCCUAUUUUUCGACAAAAAUUAUUUAGGUCUUGUAGGAUGGAGAAAUCGAAAGUGCCGUUUUCUGGCUAUUUAGAACUACUGUCGAAUUUGUAUUGGGGUCAAGCGGCAUUGUAGAAGAAAAGAAGGCAUUUAGGUUUUAGGU